UUGCACAUGCUCAUUUGAUUGUAACUGACGGUGGUACCUUCUCCCUACAUCUAAACGUGGAAAACCCUAAUUUCAUCUGAAACCAUCAGUCAUCAUUUCUCACAAAUCUAUUAUGUCUCUCUAAUUGCUCACUUUAAUUUCUUCUGUCUCUCUAAUUGCUCUCUUCCGUCUCUCUCUCUAUAUAUCAUCUCUUAUCUCGGUCGAUCAAUAGGCGUUGCUUGUGGAAGAACCUUUCACCAUCUCUUCUCCCAAACUCUCUGAUAAGAGCUCUAAUCCAUAUCCUUCCUAUUCCAUUUAUGGUUCCCGUAUCAACAUUUGCCUCCUCCGUCGUAUCUCCUGCAAGCUAGGAUUGAAAUUUAGACACCAAUGGCCGCCAUCUUUGAUUUUCAGCACCACCCCAAGAAAUGUUCGAUUUUCAACAUCACCCAUUUAGAAGAUUUUGAAAUCACACCAUCAUUCACAGAAGAAACCACAACAUUCACCGCCAUUGAACAACCACCACCAGCUCCCUUCUCUCCAGGUUUGGGUUGUGGCUGCCUUCGCCCUUCUCUGCGUUUUUCUCUAAACAAAAACCCCUGAUGGAUGUGUACUUGGAAGUGUACUGAGAAAUUGAUCAAGAAGCAAGAGGAAUCUAUUUCACGAAAAACAUAUUCAUAAGAAUUUGAAGAAAUCCUUCCCAAAGAGGGAGGUAAAUAUUCUAAUAAGUGUGAUCAUCUCUUUCUCUCUCUCUCUUUAACUGUUUGUUUGUUUGUUUGUUUGUUUUUUAUAAGUAUCAUUCCUUCUUCAAUCUCAACACUUUGAUUCAAAAGAUGAUUUUUUUCUCAGCACCACCUCAAAGGUAUGUGAAGAAACAACUCAUAAUAUUUAGACAUGGGUAUCUUUUUUGAUUUGCAAACAUGGGACGUAAAUCUUGCAAUAGAAGCUUCAACAAACACACAAAGUUCAUACAAAGCUGCUACUUUAAUCACACAAGAAUCUCCAAACAAAGAGAUGAUGAUUUCCAUAAAAAAAAGUGAUCAAGAUGUUUUGGAAGAAAAGUUGAAGAGGGACAUAUCUGUCUUAAGUGGUUUAUAUUCUUAACACAGGGUUGAAAACUGUAAAUUUGAUUCAAGAGGUGCACCUGGUGUUGGUUUUACAACUCAUCUCAUCACGGUUAAAGCAGGAGAGUGUGUAGGGGCAAUGAGAAAAAAAGUCGAGAUGGUGUUUUCAUAGCAAGACGACUUGAAAUUUUGCUUCACCUUCAACCCCUUCAUCAAAGAUUAUCUUAUUUAUAUCAUUGUAAGUUUGCUAUUUCAUUUUUCUCAAGCUUAGUCUGGUUUGUAUAUUUGGUUUCUAUUUUUAUACUUUCUUGAUUCUUAUUCUUGAAUAAGCAUGUUCAUUUUUUGUUUUCUGGCUCUUCUCCCAUUAUUAGAAUGGUACGUAUUUGAUUUGCACUUCCGUUCAUCAUUGUUGAAAGUUUUUGAAAUUUCUGGUAGCAUUUAGCAGGAAAACAAGUUUCCAUCUGUUGCUGCUAAAGACUUUCUCUCAGUUUUGAUUCUUAAAUUAUUUUUUUUGUCAAGCUCAUGCAUUUGUUGAAGCAGUGAUUAUGUUAUUUAAAAUUUUCCUUUAUUUGUAAUUAGCACAUGGAAGGAUUCUACAAAGAACCAAGUUAUUCUUUUAGGAACUUUAUUAUUUAUGUUAUUAGAAUUCCCCUCUAAA